CCUACGGGAGGCUGCAGUGAGGAAUAUUGGUCAAUGGACGAGAGUCUGAACCAGCCAAGUAGCGUGAAGGAUGACUGCCCUAUGGGUUGUAAACUUCUUUUAUAUGGGAAUAAAAUGUUCCACGUGUGGGAUUUUGUAUGUACCAUAUGAAUAAGGAUCGGCUAAUUCCGGGCCAGCAGCCGCGGUAAUACGGAGGAUCCGAGCGUUAUCCGGAUUUAUUGGGUUUAAAGGGAGCGUAGGUGGAUUGUUAAGUCAGUUGUGAAAGUUUGCGGCUCAACCGUAAAAUUGCAGUUGAAACUGGCAGUCUUGAGUACAGUAGAGGUGGGCGGAAUUCGUGGUGUAGCGGUGAAAUGCUUAGAGAUCACGAAGAACUCCGAUUGCGAAGGCAGUUCACUGGACUGCAACUGACACUGAGGCUCGAAAGUGUGGGUAUCAAACAGGAUUAGAUACCCGGGUAGUC
rnacentral:rRNA from 1 species